AAAUCUCAAAUACUUCAUUCUUACCUUUUUCUCCCUCACUAUUCUGUAUCUUUCUUGUUUCGGAUUGGAAGUUCUGAAUGAACUUGUCAGAGAAGAGGAGAGACUGACUGUUACCUCCUCAACAUGAAAACUUCUGAAAGUCCAGUAGUUUGGGACACAGUGAUUGGGCACUUCCAUGAGCUAGUGGCUGUAUAAGAGAGUGGAGACUUAAAAAACAAAUCAUGAUUGAAUAAAGACAUUGUUUUUAAUUUUUUUUGUGAUAGUGGUAUUAUGGUUAUGUUUUCUUUUUUUUUUUUUUUUUUUUUUUUUUUGAGACGGAGUCUCGCUCUGUCGUAUAGCAUAGCUGCUUAGUUGUUUUUGAGAUUUUUUUAGUCAAUGCAUAAGUAGAGUAUAAAAGCAUUUAGGCCGGAUGCAGUGGCUCACUCCUGUAAUCCUAGCACUUUGGGAGGCUGAGGCGAUUAUCUUACAUGGUGAAAGGGACUUCGACUUUGUGGUUAAGGUUAAGAACCUUGAGACGGGGAGAGGCUGUGGUCAGAGAGUGAUGUGAUAGCAGAAGACAGAAGUAGGAUCACAGAGGUAUGACAUUGCCGACUUAGAACAGAGUAAAAGUAAAAGUGGACAUAAGCUGAGGAAUGCAAUAAGAAAACUGAAGAACAUCUUUGAUGGGCUCAUCAAUAGACUGAACACAGGCAAAGAAAGAAUCACUGAGCUUGAAGAAAUUUCAGUAGCAACUGUCUUAGUUUGUUUUCUGUUGCUAUAACAGAAUGUAGCACAGACUGCGUGAUUUAUAAAGAAAAUAAAUUUCAACUUUACCUUUUCUCUUCUCUCCAUUUAAGAAAACAUCAGGUUUUUUGCUUUGUUGCCUUAGGGCAAAGUGCAUGGGACGGUGAAGUGGGGAGUAGGAAUAAGUUCUCUGGCUUUUGUUCUCAAAGGCUUAAAUCCAUUUAGAAGAAUUCGGUCCAAGGGUAAAAGCAUGAUGGCUUGAAGAUGCAAGUGAAGAGAAGGGAAGAGAGAAACAAAUGACUUUCCUUCAGACUAGAAAGAGUUUACAUGGGCUUGGCAAGGGAAGAGAGUCCUGGACCCCUUGGCAGCACCCAGAGAGAUGGAUGCUGCACAGUGCACAUAGGAAAGUGGUUCAGCUUCACCUAAGAUUCUCAUACUCACGGUGAUAUAUGAACACAGCAAAGAGCUGACAGACUUCAAGGGACCUCUGUAAGCCUGGACCAUGAGGAAGGCAGUGGCCAUGAUGAUGGUCAAGGACUAGAGGGUCUACUUCUGCUUUCAGUGCAAAACGUUAGCCUCCUGAAUACACAUGUGACACUGGAAGGAAGAGAUCACCCUAGUAAUGACUGGGAUGAUAUUCCUGAUAGCCUAUUAGUUCUGAAGUUCAGAAAUGAGAUUAAUUAACUUAGAGGAAAUAAAGUGUUCAUGAUUGUGAACAAAAGAAGUGUAUUUGCUAUAAUUGCUUAUUGACUGAUAAGAUACUUUUACCAUGAUGAUCCCAAUAACUAUUAACUAGCAAGUAUUUUUAUUCAUUCACUUAUUUAUUUAUUCAACAAAUAUUUAUUGAACUUCUACUAUGUGACAAACUAUGUGCGAGGACUUAGGAAUAUGUUAGUGAACAGUACAGUCAUGAUCCCUGUACUCAGUAGAGAAUAGCGAUAUUAAAACAAAUAAAUAAUUUUAAAUGUGAAGGAUUUAAAAAUCACAGUCAGAAGUCAAGAUUGCAGAAAUGUAACUUUGCUUUUUUAUAAGUGAACUCAACUUUGCUCUGGAAUCCCCAUUUCUGCAGAUGGGAUAGUCUCAAUCUUGCCACUUGCGGGUAACUCAGUCACUCUCAGGAUUAAAUAUAGAGUAUUUCGGACAAAUAUUUAGUUAAUUUAAAGAUUUAUAUCAGUUUGAAGUUUGCAUUUGUAUCAGGACUGUUUUUUCCUUUCAAGAACUAUUCCCUUUGUUUUUCAAGGGUGGCAUCUGGUUGCAGCAGAAACUCACCCAAGUGGCAUCAUAGCACUGGGGGAGAAAUGCCUGGUCCACAAGCUGUCCCAUGGCUUGAUGACUUCCACUGAGAUAUUUUGUUCUCCUUGGU
rnacentral:lncRNA from 1 species